rnacentral:rRNA from 1 species
UACGAAGGGGGCAAGCGUUGUUCGGAAUUACUGGGCGUAAAGGGCGCGUAGGCGGCUUAUCAAGUCAGGCGUGAAAUUCCCGGGCUCAACCUGGGGGCUGCGCUUGAUACUGAUGAGCUUGAAUGCGGGAGAGGAUAGUGGAAUUCCCAGUGUAGAGGUGAAAUUCGUAGAUAUGUGGAGGAACACCAGUGGCGAAGGCGACUUUCUGGUCUGUAACUGACGCUGAGGCGCGAAAGCGUGGGGAGCAAACAGG